UACGUAGGGCGCAAGCGUUGUCCGGAAUUAUUGGGCGUAAAGAGCUCGUAGGCGGUCUGUCACGUCGGCUGUGAAAACCCGAGGCUCAACCUCGGGCCUGCAGUCGAUACGGGCAAACUAGAGUACUGCAGGGGAGACUGGAAUUCCUGGUGUAGCGGUGAAAUGCGCAGAUAUCAGGAGGAACACCGGGGGCGAAGGCGGCUUGCUGGGCGUGAUCUGACGCUGAGGCGCGAAAGCGUGGGGAGCGAACAGG
rnacentral:rRNA from 1 species